UACGAAGGGGGCUAGCGUUGUUCGGAAUUACUGGGCGUAAAGCGCACGCAGGCGGAUUGAUAAGUCGUGGGUGAAAUCCCGGGGCUCAACCUCGGAAUUGCCUUCGAUACUGUUAGUCUUGAGUCCGGGAGAGGUAAGUGGAAUUCCUAGUGUAGAGGUGAAAUUCGUAGAUAUUAGGAAGAACACCAGUGGCGAAGGCGGCUCACUGGCCCGGUACUGACGCUCAUGUGCGAAAGCGUGGGGAGCAAACAGG
rnacentral:rRNA from 1 species